rnacentral:rRNA from 1 species
UACGUAGGGUGCGAGCGUUGUCCGGAAUUACUGGGCGUAAAGAGCUCGUAGGUGGUUUGUCGCGUUGUUCGUGAAAACUCACAGCUUAACUGUGGGCGUGCGGGCGAUACGGGCAGGCUGGAGUACUGCAGGGGAGACUGGAAUUCCUGGUGUAGCGGUGGAAUGCGCAGAUAUCAGGAGGAACACCGGUGGCGAAGGCGGGUCUCUGGGCAGUAACUGACGCUGAGGAGCGAAAGCGUGGGGAGCGAACAGG